rnacentral:lncRNA from 1 species
UGCCACAACCACAUAUGUUAGCCUGCUGGAGGAUGACAGCCAGCCAACCUCCAGACAUCUUCUUGACAGCAAGUAAUGUGCUUCACUCAUCUUUGCACACCAACCACAGAACCCAAUAUCCUCCACAUAAUAAAUUCCCAAUGUGAUUGAUAAAUUCAACUGUGAAUUAUUUUAGACCAGACACCAGCCACUGAUAAACUGUCUCUGACUUGGACAUCUCAGUGGCUGUGUAGAGAGGGCAGCCUUGCUGAGGAGACGUAGAGAAAAGAAAAAGAAAGAAAACUUUACCAUCUCUGAAACUUUUAAUGAAUUUAAGGGGAAGAUUAUACAUCUCAAUAGAAGGCGCUUACCCUCUCUGAACCAUGUUCCUCCUGUGGUCACAAGAGGCUCAUUAGGCUGGCCUUACAGCACUUGGGACAACGAGAAAGCUUCACAGAAAAUCAUGAUGAGCAGUGUUCAUUAUCUAUUCAUGAGCACCUUUCUUGCAUAUUUAGCAUUUGCAAAAUAUUGGAUGUCAUCAGCAUAUGGGAGUCCAGGAGAAAUCUCACCUUCUUGCAAAGACAAAAAUGGAAAAGCCUGAGUCUUUCUACCCAGUUGAGGGAACCCAAUCUGAACAUGACGCCUAGUUGUUCUUUGACUCGGUUUAAAUGAUGU